GGGCCCGUAGCUCAACGGAUAGAGCGACCGGCUUCGGACCGGUAGGUUGGGGGUUCGAAUCCCUUCGGGCUCA
rnacentral:tRNA from 1 species